AUCAGUGUGGCCCCAAAACUCUGAGGCAGACAGAAACAUCUGACCAGCUGUUUGGGGAUGAUUGCACAGAAGCGAUUUCCAUAAUGAAGCAUUCGUCAAACCCAGAAGUCAUCAAGGAGAAAAUGAAGGCAACAUUUCAACAUAGACAGAAACUGCUGCAUGAUCUGGAGCAGUCAUCAUUCAUCUUGGAUCACUUCCCAAGAUUCUUGGAUACACCAGGCUUAAUCGAGCAGGACUUCAUUAGGCUCUUUGGGGAAGACAUCUCUGGAAAGUUCAUUGCAAGAUGGCCUACAUUCUACAAACCGAGGGUCAUCACUGUCAGCAAAAGCCUUCGACAGAGUUCUCAUCUGGAUGAGCUUCUGUCCGCUCAGGAGGAAUCAGGUGAAUAUGAAUGGGACAGAGACUUGGCA